UCCUGUAUCAAAAUUCAAAAGUCAAGAGAGUUUGGGUCCAGACGCCGACCGACCACAGAUUGAGAUUAGGAUGCUGCUGCUGCUUUAUUCCGACGUGACACCACCACUGUACCGCCACCGCACUCACCCGGCCGGCAAGCUACUAUAUUACAUGAGCAGAGAAGGCGCAGCGGGGAGGGCUGCCAAAGAUUUCCCCACCUUCCCGAAUUGAAUUUCGCAGCAGGCCAGAGGCGUUCGUCCCCUUCCCGGAUCAUCGUUACUUUGUAAUGAUCUGGCCACGGUUCUGGAAUUUUCACCAGUGACAGAGGGCCCUCUAUGGUUGCUUUGAAUAAGAGUAUGAACUAUCACUGACUUGGUGAGCAGUAUUAUUAUGGGGGGAGAAAAGCUCCAUGAGCAGCCCUCUGGUCGUCUGAUUGAGUCCCUUAAAAUGGAGAGGGUUAGGACCAUUCUCACUCAUGGAUACCCAUACCCACAUGAGCAUUCGAGACAUUUCAUGGUUAGGAAGACUAUCGAGACAAACUAUUCAAACUUUAGUCGUUGGUACUUUGCAUGGAUAUUUUUGGCAGCAUUAUACCAUCUCCCUAGUUUUCCUCUCCAGUUUUCUUGAUCGUCUUCCACAUCAUAUUUCUUGGACUCUGGUAUUUGGAUCCUGUUUCUCGCAUGGCAGAGAAAGGCCAGAGAUGCUUACUAUAUCCAAAAUUGUGCUGUGAUAAGUAUAGCUUGCUGCGUGUUCUACAGUCACUUUGGUAACAGGACUCUUUCAAGGGAUAAAUCUAUUGAUCAUAGAACUGCUAGCUGGGUUGCAUUUUCACCGUGGAGAAAGCAAAUUGAGGACAAUACACUGAUUUCAAAGCUAUGGCGUAUGCAUAAGUUUGAAAACCAGAUUUGCUCGUCCUGGUUUGCUCCGGUUGGCUCUUCCAGUGAUUACCUGCUUCUGUCGAAAUGGCCCAUUUAUGGAGAACUUCCAAUGGAUCCGAACACUCCAACAUCAUUUCACCUGUCUACUCUUUGUGGGCUACAUUCAUUGGUCUUUACAUGGCCAAUUAUGUCGUGAAGCGGUCAACUGGAGUAUGAGAAUCUGAAGGAACUGUUGAAACCGGAUUUCGAGGACAUGGUUCCUCAGUAUUCUGGGACCUCAACGGAUUUGCUUAAAACUGUUUUCAACCUCAUGUUAUCAGUCACACUUUUUGUUGGUCGAUUUGACAUGCGUAUGUUGCAGGCUGCUAUUAACAAAGGUCCAGACGAAUCUAAGAGCAGCGACCUUUUAUACGAUCAUCUAGAUGGAAAAGACGAACUUCUGUUUGACUUCAUUGCUGAUGCCGGCGAUGGUGACUUCAUUGCUCAACCUUCUUUAGUCGUAAAAUCUGAUGAUUUCAGGCUUAUACUUCCUCGUGGACAACUACUACUUAUUGGUGGAAACCUCGCGUAUGCUGCAUACGUUGAUCGUUUACAUCAUUUGAAGUUUUCAAUUCAUGUUCGCUGAUUUUAAUGAGUAGUAUAUUUUUUGCUUGUCAUAUGCUAGUUUAUCACGAGUUGCAUUCCAUACAUGGAUGAUGCCAUAUAUUAAUUGUUUUUGCCAGCCUGUUAUAUUGGAUUUUGAUUUUUCCAUGUUGAUCUUGGAAUAAGCUCUUCAAAAAGAUGUUGAUUUGUUCCUUUCUUUUGCAGAUAUCCAAAUCCAUGCUCGUUUACAUAUGAGCAGCGUUUUUUCUGCCCUUUUGAUAUUGUGAGGAGAGCUAUGCAAAUAAGGAUGACAAAAGCUGCUCCACAACAUGGGCUUAGCCCCAGCCUCUGUACGUAUGUGUCUCCAGUCACAUUGGAUGAGCAUGAGCCGGGUACGGACGCGCUUCCGUGCUCCGCUGCAGAUGUCCCUCAGGACUCGUGUAGGAUACACCGAGUUUUAGCACCACAAAGAUAUCCUCCAAGUAAGCCGAGUCGUGGAUAUGCUCGUCGAUUUUGUCUUUGGUUAAAUAGCAUCAUGUAAUACCUUCCAUGCCCAUUCACCCAAGCUUUCUCCAUCUCCAAUGCCCUUGGCAACCACGCCGGUUGUUAGCUCUAGCAGAACGACACCAAAACUGUAGAUGUCAGUCUUCUCGCUUGCCCUUCCAUUGUACUGAAAGUAUUCUGCAAAAUUUGCAUUUAGUUAGCGUUCAAUGAAAAUGUUUGAAAUGCCUUGCUAGAUUUGAGACUCACCAGGGGGUCAUGUACCCGUGUGUACCACAAAUGGCUGACAUGUGGUGGGACUGGCCUGGGUUGACCACCAUUCGAGUAAUCCCAAAGUUGGCGAUCUUGGCAUGGAACUUUGGGUCAAGCAAAAUGUUGCCUGACUUGAUGUCCCAGUGAAUAAUAGUCUGUCCUCACUAUUGGUGGAUGUAGUUGAGGCUCCUCGGCCAGCACAAUGUUGCAGGGUCGCCCUCUCGGUGAUGGUGUGUAUCCAGUCGUCGAGGUUGCCCUUCUCCAAGUGCUCGUAAACGAGAAGCUUGGCAUAUUAGCUGGAGAUGCUGCAGAGCAGCUUGAUGAUGUUCUUGUGGUUGAUGCUCCCCAAUGUCUUCACCUCCGAGUUGAACUGUUUGUGGUCCGGAUUUCCCAUGUUGCAUAUCUUCUUGACAACCACUAUUCUGCUGCUGCAAUCCUUAGUGGCACCAUCAAGGCUAGGAGGUGGACACGGUACAACUUUCUAGACACACCGCUGACGAUAAUGUUCUGCUCAGAUAUGUUGUUGACCACGUUGGAUUUCGUGAAGUCCAGAUGUGUGAAUGGUGUCAUUUUCCAGCCAGUCACGACUUCUUUCACCACUUAUGUGUUCUCCCAGCGCCGAAGAGCAGCCAUAUGAUGACGCUCAUGGAAGCGAUAAUGACCAUGACAUCGAGCACUAACAAGAUUAUCACACGCUUCUGGAGGUGGGUGCCUCUGUGGCAUUUUGGGAGAUUUAUCCUCGAGUCCCACUUGGCACAAAGCCCACAAUUUCCAAGGAAGCUGCGGUUGUACUUUGCAUGUUAUAGAGAGAAGGACACCUCCCCAUUGAGUUGGUUAAAUGACAAAUUGAGGGACACAAUUGAAUGGUUGCCGAAGUCAAGCGGGAUAUUGCAUGGUAGCUCGUUGUUGGACAAAUCAAGGAUUACCAGUGAUGAAAUCAUCUCAAUGCUCCAUGGCGGUAUUACACCUGAUAUAUGAUUGUUGCUAAGGUCAAGUUAUUUGAGAUUCUGCAACAAUUUAAUUGAUGUUGGUAUGGAUCCAGGUAUAUUGUUCCCACUUAGUGACAAUUCAGAAAGCCUGUGGAGAUUGCUCAUGCUCACACGUAGCUCUCCUGGGAAUUAGUUAUUCUGCACCACCAACACCAAUAGCCUAGUUCCAAACGGCGGGAUCGAGCCGGAGAAGUGGUUGUUUUGCAUCUCAAUUCGAGAGAUAUUCGAAGAUCUCUCUUUCGGUAUAGUGCCACUGUAGUUGUCCGAUAUCAGCAGGGUAUGCACCAACGACAACCACCAUAUAUUCACCGGAAACUUCCCCGAGAAGUUGUUACCAAGCAUAAUAUUAUCCAGCGAGAGGCAGUUGCCAAUGCUAGCCACAGAAGCUAUUGUUAGAAACUACUAUGUCGAAUAGUUUCCCAUGAGCGCAUAACAACUCAAGUAGUGAGUUAGAAAAGUUUUUGUUGUAGACCUCAAUAUUUCCAAGCGGCGAGUGCUUCCGAAGUUCUUGUGGCACCUCACCUGAGAGCAUAUUGUCGAACAACUGGAUGUAUUGGAGGUUUGGAAUGAGGUCAGUGCUUCUUGGGAUGGGGCCUAUGAACUCAUUGUUGUAUAGGAUAUCGAUGAUAAUGUUUAGUUUCUUGAGAGUCCCAAAGUCUUUUGGUACGCAACUAGAGAGUUUGUUUGACAACAAGUCUAUCUUAAUCAAAUUCACCGUAGUGAUGUUGAACGACAGCUCCUCGGUGAGUCCAUUCUCAUACAAGUACAAGAUCUCGAGCUUUUAGUGCUCCCAGAUCCAGACAGGGAUUGAACCACUGAGCUUGUUGCCCCAUAGGUCCAACAUGGUUAGUUCCUUUAGGCUUGAGAAUGGCUCUAGAAUCUCGCCGGUGAAGCCACUCAUGUCAAGAAGCAGGUUCUGGAGUGCCGAAAGCUCGGCCACCGGCAUCAGUAGAACUGCACUUAAGUUGUUGUUAGUUAGGUUGAGGUGCUUCGUAGAUGGUGAUAACCGGCUGAUGUCUUGAGGAAGGAAUCCAUGGAAGCCGUUGUAGGAGAGAUCAAGGUACCGAAGCCAAGAGCAGACAUAGAGCAUGAUGCCAGGGAAUCUCCCAGUGAGCUUGAUGUAUGAAAAGUCAAGUUGGAUCAGGUACUUGAGGUUGCACACAGACGGGGGGGGGGGGGGGGGGUGUUGCUGGUAAGAUUCAAACGCUUGAAUGAAAGCCCCAUAACUAGGCCUCCACUGCUUGCUACACAGGUGUCAGUUGGGUGGCAGUAGGUGGAGGCCUAGUUACGUGGAUUUCCUUCAAGCGUUAGAAUUUUAUCGGCAACAUACCUCGACUGUGUGCAACCUUAAGUACCUGAUCCACCUCGACUUUUCAAACAACAAGCUCAUUGUGAGAUUCCCUGGCAUCAUGUUCUAUGCCUACUCCUGGCUACGAUACCUUGAUAUCUACUACAGUGGCUUCCAUUGAGUGUUUACUCAAGAUAUGAGCCGGCAAUCGCUAUGAAGCAUCUCCACCUGACUAACAACAACUUCUGUGGUGUUCUGCCGACGGUGAUGGCCCAGCAUUAGGCACUUCAGAACCUACUUCUUAACACGAAUGGCUUCACCAGCAAAAUUCCAGAGGCAUUCUCAAGCCUAAAGGAACUAAUCAUUUUGGACAUGUGGGGCAGUAAGUCAGUGGUUCGAUCCUUGUCUGGAUUUGGCAGCAACAAAAGCUCGAGAUCUUGUACUUGUAUGACAAUAGACUGAAAGGGAAGUUACCGUGCAACAUCACUGCGGUGAAUUUGAUUAAAAUAGCCUUGUCGGAAAACAAACUUGUUGGCUGCAUUCCAGAAGACUUUGGGACUCUCAAGAAACUAACCAUUAUCAUCCUAUACAACAACGAGUUCAUAGGCCCCGUCCCCAGAAGCAUUGGCCUCAUUCCCAAACUCCAAUACAUCCAGUUGUUCAACAAUAUGAUCUCAAGUGAAGUACCACAACAACUUGGGAAGCACAUGCCGCUUGGAAAUUUUGAGGACUACAACAACUUGUCUAGCUCACUAUUGGAGCAGUUCUGCGCCCGUGAGAAACUAUUCAAGAAUCUAGUUUCUAAUAACAACUUCUCCGGCGAGCUCCCAGAGCAUCGUCAACUUCCUGUCGCUGGAUAACAUUAUGCUCGACAACAACAACUUCUCUAGGAAGUUUCAGGAGAAUAUAUGGUUGUUGUCGUCGGUGCAUACAUUGCUAAUAUCGGACAACAAUUUCACUCGCACUAUGCCGAAAGAGAUAUCUUCGAAUAUCUGUCAAAUUGAGAUGUAGAACAACUACUUCUCUGACUUGAUCCCGACAUUUGAGACUAGGCUAUUGGUAUUGAUGGUGCAGAAUAAUCAACUCUCGAGAGAGCUACCUGUCAAUAGAACCAAUCUCCACCGGCUUUCUGAAUUGUAAGUUCGAAUAAGAUACCUGGAUCCAUACCAACAUCAAUUUACUUGUUGCAGAAUCUCAAAUCACUUGACCUCAGUAACAAUUGUAUAUCAAGUGCAAUACUGGCAUGGGGAAUUAAGAUGAUUUCAUCACUGGUAAUCCUUGUUUUGUCCAACAACGAGCUAACAUGCAAUAUUCCGCCUGACUUCGGCAACCGUUCAAUUGCAUCCUUCAAUUUGUCAUCUAUAACCAACUCAAUGGGAUGUUGCCCCUCUCUCUGCAAAGUGCAAAGUACAACUGCGGCUUCCUUUGAAACCGUGGGCUUUGUGCCAAGUGGGGAUCGAGGAUAAAUCUCCCAAAAUGCCACGGAGGCACCCACCUCCAUAAGCGUAUGAUAAUCUUGUUAGUGCUCGGUGUCACUAUCGUCAUCACUUGCAUGAGCAUCGUCAUAUGGCUGCUCUUCCGGCAUCGGAAGGACACACAAGUGGUGAAAGAAGGUGUGACGAAUUAGAAAAUGACACCAUUCACACCUCUAGACUUCACGGAAUCCGACGUGCUGAACAACAUAUCCGAGGAGAACAUUAUCGGCAGCGGCGGGUCUGAGAAGGAGUACCAUGUCCAUCUCCCUGGUCGUCAUGGUCUCUUGAGGAUCACAACUGCAGAAUAGUGGCUGUUAAGAAGGUAUGCAACAUGAGAAAUUUAGACCAUAAGCAGUCUGACUCGAAGGUGAAGACAUUGGGGAGCAUCAAUCACAAGAACAUGAUCAAGCUGCUUUGCAGCAUCUCCAGCCAAGAUGCCAAGCUUCUUGUUUACGAACACAUGGAGAAGGGGAGCUUCGAUGACCGGCUGCACUGCCGUGACAGCAAGGGCGCCCCUGCACCAUUGGACUAGCCGACAAGGCUGACCAUCACUAUUGAUGUAUUCGGGGGCCUCAACUACAUCCACAAAGAGUGCGGACAUGCUAUUAUCCAUCGGGACAUCAAGUCAGGCAACAUUUUGGUUGACCGAAAGUUCCAUGCCAAGAUCGCCUACUUUAGGCUUGCUCGAAUGGUUGUCAACCCACACUAGUCCCACCACAGGUCAGCCAUUUCUGGGACACACAGAUACAUGGCCCCUGACGAGAAUCUCAAAUCCAGCAAGGCAUCUCAAACAUUUCCGUUGAAAGCUAACUGAAUACAAAUUUUACAAAAUACUAUUAGUACAAUGGAGGGGCGAACUCUAGAAGACUAAUAUCUACAGUUUUGGUUUCGUUCUGCUAGAGCUUACAACCAACAUGGUUGCCAUGGGCGUUGGAGGAGGAGAAAGUUUGGCUGAAUGGGCAUGGAAGGUAUUACACGAUUGCUCUUUAACGAAAGACAAAAUCGUCGAACAUAUCUGUGACUCGGUCCACUUAGAGGAUUUUUUUUAUGGUGCUGAAACUCGGUGUUCCCAGCACGAGUCCUCAAGCGUACCUGCGGCCGAGCAUGAAGCGCGUCCUUACCCAGUUCAUGCUCAUCCAAUGCGACCAGAGGCACGUAAGUACAGAGGCUGGGCUGAGACUAUGUUGCGGAGGAGCGGGACCGUGAGGGGCACCUCCAGCAGUCGGCAUGGCCAUCGACACGACUCUGUAACACAUACAUCAAUCUAGAGUAAUUAAGGCUGAUUGCUCUCUGCAUUCUGAAAAUGCAUGCUUUAUGUCUUCAGUAUCUACCAUUUUUGGUUAUUCUCUUCAUAUGACCAUGGUUAGUCUCUUUCAGAUAUUUUAUGAUCUAAUUGUUCAUUUCUAUUUAUUCAGCCCCCAAUUUCUGUUAGUGUUCAGCUUUUAUGUUUGUUGCUCUAUCUGCAAUUUACAUGCGCUAAUUCUCUGUCAUCACUCUUUAUUCAUUAGUCCAUGUUCGGUCCCUCAGUUCUUCCUUUUUCCUGUUUAGCAGUCUAUGUUGCAUGCUCAUCAGUGAGCCUGUCAACAUAAGAGGGAGAGGGGAGAAGUUGGGCGGUAAUCUCUUGGUUCAGAUGUUUUCCUUGGCAACCGUUUGACGCAGAGCGUUCUUGUCUUUGGAUUUUAAGGACGUUGCAACCUAGCAUGCAUGGUUCGGAAAGGGACAAGAUAACGCCUGGCAUUCUGUAAACUUUUUGUCGAAUUGUUUGCAAAUUUUUGAUACAGAGCCUAAACAUCAGUAUUUUUUUUCCUUUCUAGAUUUCUUUAGUUUAAUUCAUUGUUCUUCUUUUAGUCAUAUUUUUCUUUUAUUUGAUCAGUGGUUGUCGGUAUUGUCGUUUUUUCAGUCUAUAUUCAGUUUAUGUGUUUUCAGUCUAUUAUUCACUUUAUCAUUUCAGUUUCUGAGUCUUCAUUUUAUUUUCUUCAUCAUUCAGAUCCCAUGGAUUGAUUGAGGUUUCAGUGGCGUCGAGUCACACCAUUAUCAGAUACAUGCUGUGAAAUCAUAUUUUGCGUGGGGCGCCAACAAGCCUGCGGCGGUGCUCAAGCGGUGUCACUUUCAGUGGCUAUAGCAGCCAAAAACCAAAAGCCCUCUAUAUUCUGAUGGCAAAGCUGAUGCAUGUAUCCGACGGGGCAUCACAUAAAUUAGCAUUCAAGGUAGGUUCCAGUCUGCAGAUCGGGUGGGACGGUAUGGCUGGAAUACGCUUGGUAACAGGGAGGAUUACCACUGCUGUGUACAAGACCUCCAAGGAAGACCACCGUCAGUAAGCUACGAGAACAAGGGCCAUUAAUUUUUUGCAAGUGGAGAUGCAACCAUUGGAAACCAGAACGAUGACGCUACUUCGGCGAAUGAGACUGGGACAGGCUCGCCGGAUUGUUGGCGCCAAAGAAGCGAAAAGAGAUUGUUGGCGCCAAACUAGCCGAGAGAAGGCGCCGUACCACCAUGGUGUUGCGGAACUAAAUGUGUGUGGGAAUUAUGCACUUAUUAGUUGUAUGUUGUUUUCAGGCUUACUGUAUGUGUUUGUAUGCUGUAGUCUUGGUAAUGGCAACCUGGCUUGUUUAUGAGUUAGAAAAAACUCCUUCAGGUGUCUGUUGAACCUGAUAUCAAUCUUGUAUGAAUGGUGUAUAUCUGCUUGCGGAAUGGUGCGGCGAUUUCUGAAUUUUUUGGACA